rnacentral:rRNA from 1 species
AUGGACACAGGCGCCACGGACCAUUUGACGAGCCAGCUUGACAAGCUGACCACUCGCCAGCCCUACACCGGUCAUGAUCAGGUCCGCACUGCCAAUGGAUCAGGUAUGCCCAUCUCACAUGUUGGUCAGGCAUCUCUUCUUUCGCGUACCACUAAAACCUUGCGUCUUCUUGAUGUCCUUCGUGUUUCUUCAGUCACACGUAGUUUACUCUCGGUCCCUAAAUUAACUCUUGACAACAAUGUGUUUGUUGAGUUUCACCUUUUCUAUUUUUUUGUUAAGGACCGGGACACGAGGGACGUUCUACUUAGUGGUCGAGCUCGCGACGGCUUAUAUGCGCUUGAUGUGCCAAGAGUGUCUCCACGAGUAUCUCAAGUUUUCAGUGGGGUUCGGGUGUCGUCUUCACAGUGGCAUUCUCGUCUUGGUCAUCCGGCCACUCCCAUUGUGCGCCAUGUCCUUCAUCGUCAUCAUCUUCCUGUUGAGUCAAGUAAUAAGGAGUUUCUAGUGUGUGAUGCGUGUCAACAAGGCAAGAGUCAUCAGUUGCCUUUUUCUGUAUCGAGUCGUGUUGUCAAGGCUCCUCUCGAACUUGUGUUUUCGGAUGUAUGGGGCUAUGCCCAAACUUCUGUCAGUGGUCAUAACUAUUAUGUCAGUUUUAUCGAUAAUUUCAGUCGCUUUACUUGGAUUUAUCUUAUUAAGCGCAAAUCCGAUGUAUUUCAUGUCUUUAUGCAAUUUCAAGCACAUGUUGAGCGGUUGCUUAAACACAAAGUUAUUCAUGUUCAGUCUGAUUGGGGGGGGGGGGGUUGA